rfam:Prunus persica cultivar Lovell chromosome G6, whole genome shotgun sequence.
GUAACUGUGAUGAACCUUCAGACCUGUAAUGAUAUGCGGACAUGAGCGCAGAUCUAAGAACAUCUAAGGGACUGAGUUUAA